UGGCUCAGGAUGAACGCUGGCGGCGUGCCUAAUACAUGCAAGUCGAACGAGUUCUCGUUGAUGAUCGGUGCUUGCACYGAGAUUCAACAUGGAACGAGUGGCGGACGGGUGAGUAACACGUGGGUAACCUGCCCUUAAGUGGGGGAUAACAUUUGGAAACAGAUGCUAAUACCGCAUAGAUCCAAGAACCGCAUGGUUCUUGGCUGAAAGAUGGCGUAAGCUAUCGCUUUUGGAUGGACCCGCGGCGUAUUAGCUAGUUGGUGAGGUAAUGGCUCACCAAGGCGAUGAUACGUAGCCGAACUGAGAGGUUGAUCGGCCACAUUGGGACUGAGACACGGCCCAAACUCCUACGGGAGGCAGCAGUAGGGAAUCUUCCACAAUGGACGCAAGUCUGAUGGAGCAACGCCGCGUGAGUGAAGAAGGCUUUCGGGUCGUAAAACUCUGUUGUUGGAGAAGAAUGGUCGGCAGAGUAACUGUUGUCGGCGUGACGGUAUCCAACCAGAAAGCCACGGCUAACUACGUGCCAGCAGCCGCGGUAAUACGUAGGUGGCAAGCGUUAUCCGGAUUUAUUGGGCGUAAAGCGAGCGCAGGCGGUUUUUUAAGUCUGAUGUGAAAGCCCUCGGCUUAACCGAGGAAGCGCAUCGGAAACUGGGAAACUUGAGUGCAGAAGAGGACAGUGGAACUCCAUGUGUAGCGGUGAAAUGCGUAGAUAUAUGGAAGAACACCAGUGGCGAAGGCGGCUGUCUGGUCUGUAACUGACGCUGAGGCUCGAAAGCAUGGGUAGCGAACAGGAUUAGAUACCCUGGUAGUCCAUGCCGUAAACGAUGAAUGCUAGGUGUUGGAGGGUUUCCGCCCUUCAGUGCCGCAGCUAACGCAUUAAGCAUUCCGCCUGGGGAGUACGACCGCAAGGUUGAAACUCAAAGGAAUUGACGGGGGCCCGCACAAGCGGUGGAGCAUGUGGUUUAAUUCGAAGCAACGCGAAGAACCUUACCAGGUCUUGACAUCUUUUGAUCACCUGAGAGAUCAGGUUUCCCCUUCGGGGGCAAAAUGACAGGUGGUGCAUGGUUGUCGUCAGCUCGUGUCGUGAGAUGUUGGGUUAAGUCCCGCAACGAGCGCAACCCUUAUGACUAGUUGCCAGCAUUUAGUUGGGCACUCUAGUAAGACUGCCGGUGACAAACCGGAGGAAGGUGGGGAUGACGUCAAAUCAUCAUGCCCCUUAUGACCUGGGCUACACACGUGCUACAAUGGAUGGUACAACGAGUUGCGAGACCGCGAGGUCAAGCUAAUCUCUUAAAGCCAUUCUCAGUUCGGACUGUAGGCUGCAACUCGCCUACACGAAGUCGGAAUCGCUAGUAAUCGCGGAUCAGCACGCCGCGGUGAAUACGUUCCCGGGCCUUGUACACACCGCCCGUCACACCAUGAGAGUUUGUAACACCCGAAGCCGGUGGCGUAACCCUUUUAGGGAGCGAGCCGUCUAAGGUGGGACAAAUGAUUAGGGUGAAGUCGUAACA
rnacentral:rRNA from 2 species